GGCUCAUUAAAUCAGAUACAAUUUCCUUGAAUGUGAAAAGUUAAAAGGAUAACUGUGGUAAUUCUAGAGCUAAUACUUGCACCAAGGGACUGUCUUGUACAGUCCUGCAUAUAUUAGACCAAAGACCGCGGCAGCAAUGCCCUCUCCGAGGUGAACUCUGAAUAUCUACGUUGAUCUAUGGUGACUCGCUCACCUAGACAAAUCUUUCAAGUGUCUGUCCCAUCAACUAGAUGGUAGGUUAAGAGCCUACCAUGGUGGUUACGGGUAACGGGGAAUCAGGGUUCGAUUCCGGAGAAGGAGCCUGAGAGACGGCUACUACAUCCAAGGAAGGCAGCAGGCACGCAAAUUACCCACUGGCAGCACGCCGAGGUAGUGACGAAAAAUAACUAUGCGGUCGUCUUUACGAUGUUACCGUAAUAGGAAUGAUUUUAGAAUAAUCCUUUACUGAAAGGACCGAUCGGAGGGCAAGCCUGGUGCCAGCAGCCGCGGUAAUUCCAGCUCCGAAAGCAUAUAUUAAAGUUGCUGCGGUUAAAAAGCUCGUAGUUGGAUUUUAGGGGAACGUCUUAAAUUGAAAAGAGUAAAAUCUUUACACAAUUGGACUUCCCCAAGAGGGGUGGUUGUUUCGAAAAUGGGUAAAACCGUUCUUUGUUACAUCGCCACCCCCUGUUACUUUGAAAAAAUGAGAGUGCUCAAAGCAGGCUACAAUGCCACGAAUAAUCUAGCAUGGAAUAACGGAAAAGGACCUCGCGUCUGUUUUCUUGUUGGUCUUCACACCGACCGAGGUAAUGAUAAAGAGGAACAAACGGGGGCACUCGUACCAAAGGGUUAGAGGUGAAAUUCUUGGAUCCCUUUGUGACGAACAAGAGCGAAAGCAUUUGCCAAGGAUGUUUUCAUUAAUCAAGAGCGAUAGAGUGAGGAUCGAAGGCGAUCAGAUACCGCCCUAGUUCACUCUGUAAACGAUGCCAACCAGCGAUCGGCUCCUGUUCUUUCUUAGACGGGGCCGGCAGCUUCUGGGAAACCAAAGUCUUUGGGUUCCGGGGGAAGUAUGGUUGCAAGGCUGAAACUUAAAGGCAUUGACGGAAGAACACACAAGGCGUGGAGCCUGCGGCUUAAUUUGACUCAACACGGGAAAACUCACCCGGACCGGACACUACAAGGAUUGACAGAAUACCGGCUCUUUCUUGAUCUAGUGGGUUGUGGUGCAUGGCCGUUCUUAGUUCGUGGAGUGAUUUGUCGGCUUUAUUGCGAUAACGAACGAGACUCUAGCCUACUUACGUAGUUUGUUGGGUGUUGGUUCGAAAGUUCCAUUCCCCCAACAACUCGAGAGAGAAAACUUCUUAGAGGAAUAAACGGAUUUUCAUAAACCGUACGAGAAAGAGCAAUAACAGGUCUGUGAUGCCCAUAGAUGUCCGGGGCCGCACGCGCGCUACACUGAGGUGAUCAGCGUGCUUCCUAUGGUCCGUGGCCGAAAGGUUAUACACGGUAACCAACAAAACUCCCCUCGUGCUAGGGAUAGGCUAUUGUAAUUCUUGGCCUUGAACGAGGAAUGCCUAGUAAGUACGGGUCAUUAACCCGUAUUGAUUACGUCCCUGUUCUUUGUACACACCGCCCGUCGCUACUACCGAUUGAAUGGUAGAGUGAGGUCUUUGGACGUUUCGAAUAUGGAGCUGCCUUCGGGUGGCACCAUGCUUGAAGUGAAAGAUGACCAAACUCGAUUAUUUAGAGGAAGUAAAAGUCG
rnacentral:rRNA from 1 species